rnacentral:rRNA from 1 species
GAUGAACGCUAGCGGCAGGCUUAAUACAUGCAAGUCGAACGGGAUUCGGGGUAGCAAUACUUUGAUGAGAGUGGCGCACGGGUGCGUAACGCGUAUGCAACCUACCUUUAACAGGGGAAUAGCCCCGAGAAAUCGGGAUUAAUACUCCGUAACAUUGCGGUGUGGCAUCACACUGCAAUUAAAGAUUUAUCGGUUAAAGAUGGGCAUGCGUGACAUUAGCUAGUUGGUGAGGUAACGGCUCACCAAGGCAACGAUGUCUAGGGGUCCUGAGAGGGUUAUCCCCCACACUGGUACUGAGACACGGACCAGACUCCUACGGGAGGCAGCAGUAAGGAAUAUUGGUCAAUGGGCGCAAGCCUGAACCAGCCAUGCCGCGUGCAGGAAGACGGCCCUAUGGGUUGUAAACUUCUUUUAUACGGGAAUAAAGUGCCCCACGCGUGGGGUUUUGCAUCGUACGUAUGAAUAAGGAUCGGCUAACUCCGUGCCAGCAGCCGCGGUAAGUA